rnacentral:misc_RNA from 1 species
GAUGAAGAACGUAGCGAAACGCGAUAAGUAAUGUGAAUUGCAGAAUCCAGUGAAUCAUCGAAUCUUUGAACGCACAUUGCGCCCUCCAGCAUUCUGGCGGGCAUGCCUGUUCGAGCGUCAUUUCAACCCUCGACCUCCCCUUGGGGAGGUCGGCGUUGGGGACCGGCAGCACACCGCCGGCCCUGAAAUGGAGUGGCGGCCCGUCCGCGGCGACCUCUGCGCAGUAAUACAGCUCGCACCGGGACCCCGACGCGGCCACGCCGUAAAACACCCAACUUCUGAACGUUGACCUCGAAUCAGGUAGGACUACCCGCUGAACUUAAGCAUAUCAAUAAGCGGAGGA